CGCAGGCUGUAGAUCAAGUCAGCUGUGAAAUGUCUGGGCUUAACCCGGGCAUGCGGUUGAAACUGAUGUACUGGAGUGCUGUAGAGGCAAGUGGAAUUCCCAGUGUAGCGGUGAAAUGCGUAGAUAUUGGGAAGAACACCGGUGGCGAAGGCGACUUGCUGGGCAGCAACUGACGCUGAGGCGCGAAAGCCAGGGGAGCAAACG
rnacentral:rRNA from 1 species